CCCUUCUUGGGCUGGACCACGCAGGUGAAGCCCAGAAACAGAGAGCCUGGAACUGGCAGUUGAAGCCUGAACUGUGGGCAAGAUCACUUCGACAUCAGCUGAAGGUCCAACUCCUCUCGGGCCAGGAAGACAAGGGUUUGUCUCUUGAUGCAGAAUCAUCAGAUACCCUUGACUCUUGGCACUCUGUGUGUAGUCUGGACAGCACAGGACAGCCCUGGACCUUCCAGACGAAACAGGCAAUUCCUGAAGACAGCGACUAACUCAGAGCAGCCUGCAGUGCUGGAGCUACUGCUAGCUGAGCUCCAAACUCUGUUCUCGGCUGUGCUGCAGGACCACAGCCCUGCAGCUUGGCGCUACCUGCAUGCAGUACUGGGUCUCCUGCCUCCGUAUCGUGAGUUACUAGGUGGUCACCUUGAUUUGCUGCCCUUCUUGGAGCAGCUAUACUGCUGGGCACCCUGGGUCCAAUCCCAACUCCAGCUGGACCUGCUAGGUGCCAUAGACCUGGCUUUUCCCCCAGACAACUCUUUGUUAUACAGUGCCUCCCAUGUUGACUGCCAUCCCCAAAAGAAGAGGUUCAAUCAACCAGUCUGCCCUUUUGUGCAGGCCCGGUGGGGUGGACAGCAAGGAAAGGAAGAACUGGCCACGUGGCUGCGACCAUUGAUACUGCCUGAGCUACAGCACUGCCUGGGCAUUGUUGGUGCUGAGGUGGCCCUGGAGGAGGCCCAGUGGUUGGAUGGUCUUAGUCUCCUGCCCUUGGCACUGGCUAUGGACAUCCCUGUGCAGUAUAAAAGCAGUGAUACUAACAACAUAGAAGAGGAGCCUGUCGGAAGCAAAGAAAUUAAGCCCUACGACCUGGUGGUGGUGCCACCAAAAAGGGUGAAUCCUGAGCACUACAUCUUCUCUCCCUUUGGGAUCCUGCACGUACAUCCCAUGGAGGGCAGUGAGGCUAUGACACUGGGUGCCUGGCACCACCAAUCUCUUCUCUGGCAACAGCUCCAGUUCAUUCCAUUCUUUAAGCAUUGCCUUGUACGCAAGGCCUUGACCUGGUAA
rnacentral:lncRNA from 1 species